rnacentral:rRNA from 1 species
AUUGAACGCUGGCGGCAGGCCUAACACAUGCAAGUCGAGCGAGCGGCGGACGGGUGAGUAAUGUCUGGGAAACUGCCUGAUGGAGGGGGAUAACUACUGGAAACGGUGGCUAAUACCGCAUACCAUCGGAUGUACCCAUAUGGGAUUAGCUAGUCGGUGGGGUAACGGCUCACCUAGGCGACGAUCUCUAGCUGGUCUGAGAGGAUGAACAGCCACACUGGAACUGAGACACGGUCCAGACUCCUACGGGAGGCAGCAGUGGGGAAUAUUGCACAAUGGGCGCAAGCCUGAUGCAGCCAUGCCGCGUGUAUGAAGAAGGCCUUCGGGUUGUAAAGUACUUUCAGCGGGGAGGCGUUACCCGCAGAAGAAGCACCGGCUAACUCCGUGCCAGCAGCCGCGGUAAUUC